GAUGAACGCUAGCGGCAGGCCUAAUACAUGCAAGUCGGACGGGAUUCACCAGCUUGCUGGUGAUAAGAGUGGCGCACGGGUGCGUAACGCGUGAGCAACCUGCCCAUAUCAGGGGGAUAGCCCGGAGAAAUCCGGAUUAAGACCGCAUAAUACAGAUUGACUGCAUGGUUAAACUGUUAAAUAUUUAUAGGAUAUGGAUGGGCUCGCGUGACAUUAGCUAGUUGGUAGGGUAACGGCCUACCAAGGCGACGAUGUCUAGGGGCUCUGAGAGGAGAAUCCCCCAAACUGGCACUGAGACACGGACCAGACUCCUACGGGAGGCAGCAGUAAGGAAUAUUGGUCAAUGGAGGCAACUCUGAACCAGCCAUGCCGCGUGCAGGAAGACGGCCCUACGGGUUGUAAACUGCUUUUGUACGGGAAUAACCCCCAAUACGGGUAUUGGGCUGAAUGUACCGUAAGAAUAAGGGUCGGCUAACUCCGUGCCAGCAGCCGCAGUAA
rnacentral:rRNA from 1 species